GGAGAGAUGGCUCAGUGGUUAAGAGCACUGACUGCCCCUCCAGAGGUCCUGAGUUCAAUUCCCAGCAACCACA
rnacentral:tRNA from 1 species